rnacentral:rRNA from 1 species
GACGAACCGUCCAAACGUUGUUCGGAAUCACUGGGCUUAAAGGGCGCGUAGGCGGGUUCCCAAGUCGGUGGUGAAAUCUUUCGGCUCAACCGGAAAACAGCCGCCGAUACUGGGGACCUCGAGGGAGAUAGGGGUCGAGGGAACUUCCGGUGGAGCGGUGAAAUGCGUAGAUAUCGGAAGGAACGCCGGUGGCGAAAGCGCUCGACUGGACCUCUUCUGACGCUGAGGCGCGAAAGCCAGGGGAGCAAACGGG